AAUUCUAUAUCGCUUAAUCCAAACGGAGCGGGGGAACCAUUUUAUGUGGCUCGAUGAGUCAUAUGGGGUGAAUCCUACGAAUGUAGGUAGGGCUACUCUUUUAGCCCGAAUCCGACAGCUAACCUCGUAAGCGUAAUGAGAGAGGAGAU
rnacentral:sRNA from 2 species